rnacentral:rRNA from 1 species
GACACGCUGGCGGCGUGGAUUAGGCAUGCAAGUCGAACGGUAUCAUCCUUUCGGGGGUGAGAGAGUGGCGAACUGGUGAGUAACACGUAGGUUAUCUACCCUCAAGACGGGACAACCCAGGGAAACUUGGGCUAAUACCGGAUGUGAGCAACUUUUAGUUGUUUGAAAGGUGGCGUAAGCUGUCGCUUGGGGAUGAGCCUGCGUCCUAUUAGUUAGUUGGUGAGGUAACGGCUCACCUAGGCAAUGAUAGGUAGGCGGCCUUAACGGGUGGUCGCCCACACUGGGAUUGAGAUACGGCCCAGACUCCUACGGGAGGCAGCAGUCGAGAAUAGUCUACAAUGGUCGGAAGACUGAUAGUGCGACGCCGCGUGAACGAUGAAUCCCUUCGGGGUGUAAAGUUCUUUUAUAUGUGAGCAGUGCUUCUUAUAUUAACAGUAUGGGGAGAGAGAUAUUAGCAUAUGAAUAAGCAACGGCUAACUCCGUG